AGGAUUAACGCUGGCGGCGUGCCUAACACAUGCAAGUCGAACGAGGUAGCAAUACCUAGUGGCAGACGGGUGAGUAACGCGUGGUCAACCUACCGUUGAGUGGGGGAUAACUAGCCGAAAGGUUAGCUAAUACCGCAUACGUCUCCGAGGGGCAUCCCUUGGCGAUAAAAGGAGCAAUCCGCUCGAUGACGGGACCGCGUCCCAUUAGCUAGAUGGUGGGGUAACGGCCUACCAUGGCACCGAUGGGUAGCUGGUUUGAGAGAGCGACCAGCCACACUGGGACUGAGAAACGGCCCAGACUCCUACGGGAGGCAGCAGUGAGGAAUUUUCCGCAAUGGGCGCAAGCCUGACGGAGCGACGCCGCGUGUGGGAAGAAGGCCUUCGGGUCGUAAACCACUGGUCGAAGGGGACGAGUAAUGACGGUACCCUUGGAGGAAGCCCCGGCUAACGUACGUGCCAGCAGCCGC
rnacentral:rRNA from 1 species